UCUUUUCCUUCAUCUUUGCCAUUAUUGUUCAAUGUCUUCAUUCAUUAUACACAAGCAAACUUGUAUAAAUUAAAAAGAUAAUACACAAAAAAAAGAAAAUAUGUCGUAUAAAAGAAAUUUAUUGGCAUAAAAGAAGAACAGCCCAAUAUGCGUAUCGUUGCGCGCGCAUAAUUAACUAAAAGCAAAAGAGGGACAGGGAUUGCCAUCUUACGGUAAUUACGGUUGGUGCCAUUAUUGUAGAUUAUUCUCGGUCCGGUUUUUUACGUAAUCCGAUAGUUACUACCGAUAAACUCGAUAAUUAUCGCAUAAAGUCAGUUUUUGCCUGUUUUCAAUAUUUAUCGUGGAAAUCCCUAUUUUUUUACUGGGAAAAAAGACUAAUAUUUGACUAUAUCAAACUGUUUUAUAUAAUUUCCUGAAUAUGUGAGUGUAACGAGUAUCUAUGCAUUAAAAAUAAUAAUACGUUAUAGGAAAAUUUCUAUAUUCGUAAUAAUCGAUGAUAUUAUUGAAAGGAAUCGAAUAAAUGUAAUGAUAUUUUAUUUAAUCGUGGUGCAAUUUCAGUGAUUAUAUCAGAAAAUCAAUGUACUAUUUCUAACCAGUCGAGAUUAUCGCGUAGAUAUCCGACAAUAUAGAAUUCAUAAUACCACGAACAGUUACAUAAAUACAUAGUUACAUGUCUCUAAGGAAUGUGUUGACUUAUAGAUAAUUGAAAAUAAAGAAAGAAGAUUUCAUAAAGAUUUCAUAAAAGUAAGAAGAAUUGAUAUUGUUAUGUUUCUCCAAUUUCAUCAUGUGAAUCAAAUUGGAAUAUUAUUGAAAUUUGACGGAAAGUCUGACAAGCAACGUGAUAUCCGUCUUCGUUUUACGUAAUAUCCAUAACGACAAUACACGAGGAAAAUUAUCUUCGAUGUUAAUCCCUGUUUCAACGCACCCACGUCUUCCACGACAUUUCCAUAUUCUAUCGCGAUAAGCCGCGACCAAGGAAAAAUGAGACGCGAGAGGAGCUAUACUGUUUGCUAUUUUAUGUCACCAUAUAGAAAUUUUUUUCAUUCUAUCUUGCGACACGUAUCGUGUCUUGUCGUUGCUCUUAUGAUAUGACGUUGUACGUGGGAAGAAUUGUAUGCGUAAUCAUACAAAUAGUGUUCUUAAUAACGAGAAAAUUUGUUUUAUUAUUUUCUUUCUAUAAUUUUUAUCGAUAAAAUUAACUUUUGAGAGACGUUUCGAUGCAUUUAGAACAGUGGUUCUUAAUUUACAAAUCGCGAUUUAAAAAGCAAUAUAAUUUACAUAUAAUUGUCUAGAAACGUAUUUCCAUUCUAGGAACACCAGAAUGAUCAUAAUCUUUUCAUUAUUCAUUUUAUGCAAGAUGCAAGAUACGUCCAAAUGAUUCCAAACUUUUACCCAGUAAUGUACACUGAGACUCUGGAUUAAAAUUUAUACUUAUAAAUAAAUAACGCAUCCUCUCGAAUACAACAUCGCCAGCAACGAAUGAUUCAACGAGCCGAGAUAAGGUCUCGGUCCGAGUAUUUACAAUUCAUUUAUCGAUAACCUGCUUCACGGAUAAAAAAGCGAGGGAAAGAGAAGAGUGGAAGAUAAAAUAGAGAGGGGGAAGUUGGUCGGUGAAACGAUUCCGUGAUUAAGAGUAGGAUGAUCGGGGGCCGCAUUUUGCGUGCUCAAGCAUGCGUAAGUCCGAGGGCAGAAUACGGUUAUACGCCGACCAAGCUGUGUCAUCGUCGGCCAAUGAUGGAGGAUCGAGGCCUCUCUCGUUGAUCUUGGGGAAUCGGAGGAGGAGAGUGACUCAUACCGGUAGCCAGUAGGUUUUCCGGUUAUCUGGGUUCUGGUCGCGGAUUAUGGGAGUGUCGGGAGAAAGGCUGUAAUUGACUGUGAUUAUGUUACGUCGAGUUAGGCACGGUGAGAGGUAAGGUUUCCACGGGGCACAUCGAAUUCCCUUGUUUUAGAAUUAUUCGGAAACGUAUAUAUUGAAAUGUUAUUUUUCAUCGUUUAUUCACGAUUUAUGAAAGAAAGUGGAUAAUCGAGUGAGUAAAUAGAUAGAGAAGAAAUUGAAAUUAAAUUAGUUUUCAAAGUUUACUUAGAACUUACUAAUUAUUUUCCAUUGCAUAGAUAUGUGAUCAUGUGGUACAUUUAAAUUAUUCAUUUUCAAUUAGUCUAUGAAUUAUUCAAUAGAGUAAUUGAAUAAAUUGAAUAAAAAUAUGUAGUAUUUCCUAUCUUCUGCCCUAUGCUAAUGCAAAAAAGCUAAUCCACGAUAAAUUAAACGACGUGUAACUGGUUUAAAACACGUAUACUAUAUAUAUAUAUAUAUCUCUAACGAAUCAAAUACUAUAUAUAUAAUAUAAAUUAACGUUGUUCAGUGAUUAAAAUUAUCCCAUUUGCUCUAUUUUCAAGAUAAUAUUUAUAUCGACGAUAAAAAACAUUUUUUUUAAAAUAAAAUAUACUUUAUUUACUCUAUUAAAAAUGCGACAGAGAAGAUCAUUUGCCUAUCAAAUAAAAUAGGAUUACAUCUUGGAAAAAGUUGGGAGACACUGGACCAACCUGAGUUAAUUAAUGCUGAUAUCAAGCAACAUCGAUGAAAUCACGGAACACCGGCUUCUCUCAUUUGAAUAUCAAUAUCGAGAAUUCCUUCCGCGAGUCGCACGGGCGUGGAAAGCAUAUCGGCACUCGAGUGUCAUCGUCGGUUCAAUUAUCCUCGGAUAAUUAAACCACGGCGAAUUAACGCGCGGAAUUUCGUCGUCAUUAAACCACGGUGGGAUUUACAGGUUGGAUCGGUUAAAAGGAAUCGAGAUUCCCGUGGCAUCUGAAGUAAGCUUGUUUCAUCGAAUGGAAAUGUUGAUAUCAUAGAGCUGGGAUUUCCUUUUCCACAAAUUUUCACACGAUCUUCCGUUUCGAGAUCUUCCCAUACAUGGAAGUUGAGAGUUGAAGUUGAAGGUUUACAGUUUUUCUGCAUAAACGUCUGCACACGAGAAAAUAAAUACAUACGAAAAUCUAUCGAUAAAAUCGCAAUUCUCGAACAAUUAUCUAAUCUCCGACGAAAAAAUUCAACAAUUCAAUCCGGCAGCUUCAAUUAUUCGAUUUCAAGAAAAUUUCGCGCCAAAUAAUAACCUAUUAAUCUCUCCAACUCCGCGCUUUUGGAAAUAAAUGAACAAAUAACCAAAAAAAAAGAGAGGAAAAAAUUAAAAAAAAAGAAACGAGAGAUACACCGGAGUUUAAGGCUGUAUUUAUCAUCUCGAAUCGAUCUCAAUUACCGCGAAACGUAUCGACGUUUGGCGAUCGACGAACGGUGAAUUAGCCGUGGAGAGCUUGAGGGGGAAACACCGUAUCGCGUGACAUUCGAAAUUGUACGAGAAAGCGGGCGCGGAGGGAGGGAAGAAAAGCGAGCGGCGCGAUGGAAAGCGAGCGGAUCGCGAUCGUGAUCGGGAGCACGCUCGUUAGAGAGGCCGCCGGCUCGUUACUCGGCCGCUUCUGCAUCAAAUCCGGCAAUUAAACAGCGGCGAUCGCGUUUACGCCGAGAUAAAUACCGGUCAUUUCACGAGACGAGACCGAGGCAGAGACUUAUGGGUUGAUGAAGCUUAUGCGGGGACAAGAGAAAGGUAGGAGGGAUGACAGGAGACGACCAAGGUAGUUCCUGGACUUCUAUCGAGCGCGGAUCUUCCGCUACAGUGACCUGGACGAUGACCUCUUGCACUUAUCCUUGAUCUGAAGCAGCAUAAAAUGGGAAAGGGAAAUCCUGUAUUGAUUUUUUUAGUAAAGGCAAGUGUAAACUUUUCGAGAGCACGAAUAAAACGAGCCGAGAAGCGAUCGACAAGGAGAGAGAGAAAGAAAAAGAGAGAGCAGCAACACGAAAGAAACAGGAGCGUUACGACGAUGUCCACCGAUGAAUUACCAUACCGACCGGAUUACCUUUCAUGCGCGAAACAUCUCCAUCAGCUGGAACCGCGAAUAAUCCGAUAAGCGAAUUAAGAUUAGCAGCUUCUGAUGAGCCGCUAAGUGACUAUCGACGUUUGCAUAUCGACCGGCUUCGGUGACAUGGAGCCGAGUGGCGACGUCGAUCACUAGAAAUCGAUCAUUGCCUCCUCGCUCGAUCCUCCGAUCGACGUUAUUAUCGUACACAGUGUUAGUCCACCAUCAACCAUCCAAUGAUCAACAUCUAUGCACUGAAUAGUCUCGGCAACUUUCUAAACUCUUCUCCUACCAUCAAUUUCAUCCAAAUCGAACCGACCGACGCAGCAUCUCUCUCCACCAACUGAUCAUGGAAGAUCGAAGUGUCAGGUUCCCACGAGAGCGUCGCGAAAUUCACGAACCGGCGAUCGUGUCGUCGGUUUUACGGUCCUCGUACAGGAGCUUGGAGCAGGUAUACACGUUUACGACGUCGCUGGAAAAUCGGCCGUAAACGCGACUCAGUCGUAAAGAUUGUCGAGUGGUUGCUCUCUCACGUUCCGGGCCAUUAGGAUCAGGACGGCGAAAGAGAGUCGCACGGCCCUGGAUGAAAGGAUACUUUCUCUGUCGUUCGUCGACGUUUCGGCGCAAGCGCGAUAGAUCUCAGUGAAACGGCGAUAAAACGAUCAUUUUGUUCUAGAGAGCAACAUCUUCGACGGGUUGGUGACGAGCAAUGGUUUUAUAACGAAAACAUGAUGUUAGAGGGGUUUUAUUUGAGAUAAUGUUGCACGAAAUUUUUAACUUGAUAUUUUGAGAUAAAUUGAAAAGUGAAAUCUUUUAAAUAUAAUAGUUUGAAGAGGAUUUGUAAACUUUGGCUUAAUGUUAAGUUAGGUGUAAGAUUUUGGAGAAGCUUGAUUUUGGAGAUUUUAUUUUGAAUAAUAUUAGAUUUGAAAUGAGAUCUUUAAUUUAAAUGAUACUUUUUUAAAGAUAAUUAAUUUUUUAAAAAUCUUAUUAAAUAAUUUAUCGUUGAUUGUUUGAAAUUGUAAUCUUUUUCUUCUAUAUUAAAUGUAACAGAUUUUGAAUAAAAAAACUUGAUUUUA